UUGCGGUGAUGACCAUCUUAGGACACCUUUGGAAAUAACCAUGAAAACAAUACAUAUCAGUCUGAGCAAC